AUACGGAGGAUCCGAGCGUUAUCCGGAUUUAUUGGGUUUAAAGGGUGCGCAGGCGGCCAUUUAAGUCAGCGGUUAAAUCGUGGGGCUCAACCCCAUUCUGCCGUUGAUACUGGGUGGCUUGAUUGCGGUCGAGGUUGGCGGAAUUCGUUGUGUAGCGGUGAAAUGCAUAGAUAUGACGAAGAACACCGAUUGCGUAGGCAGCUGACCAGACCGCAAAUGACGCUCAUGCACGAAAGUGCGGGGAUCGAACAGGAUUAGAUACCCUGGUAGUCCGCACAGUAAACGAUGAAUACUUGUUUUCGGCGAUAUAAUGUCGGAGGCAAAGCGAAAGCGAUAAGUAUUCAACCUGGGGAGUAAGCCGGCACCGGUGAAACUCAAAGUAAUUGACGGGG
rnacentral:rRNA from 1 species